rnacentral:rRNA from 16 species
CCCGUACUUGGUGUUACUGCGAAGGGGGGACGGAGAAGGCUAUGUUGGCCGGGCGACGGUUGUCCCGGUUUAAGCGUGUAGGUGUGUGUUCCAGGUAAAUCCGGUUCACUUUAACACUGAGGCGUGAUGACGAGGCACUACGGUGCUGAAGCAACAAAUGCCCUGCUUCCAGGAAAAGCCUCUAAGCAUCAGGUAACAUCAAAUCGUACCCCAAACCGACACAGGUGGUCAGGUAGAGAAUACCAAGGCGCUUGA